rnacentral:lncRNA from 1 species
UUUGGGUGGGAUUCCGCCCGUUUGGGUUCAGCCAAACUCUGCUUUUUUUGUAGGGCCGCGCCUCCAAAGCCCCCGAGGGCGGCCCCCGCAGCCGCCGUGGGGCGAGACCCCCCCUGAAAGCGGGCGAGGAAGAGGAGGAGGAGGAAGAGGAGGAGGAGGAAGAGGAAGAAGACGACGACGACGAGGAAGAGGAAGAGGGCAAGCCGGGCCCCGCCCCCUGUCAAGCCCCGCCCCCUUCCCCUCCCGCCCCGCCCCCUUCGCUUGACCAGCCCCUCCCAUUGGACAAAGCCCCGCCCGUCACCCCCGAAGCCCCGCCCUCGCAGGGCCAAGCCCCGCCCACGGAGGGCGAAGCCCCGCCCCCUGUUGCCGAAGCCACGCCCACACAGCCCCAAACCCCGCCCCCAGAGAGCGUGGCCACGCCCACUGAAAUACAGACCACGCCCCCUGCGGUCGAAGCCCCGCCCCCCGUGAUGGAAGCCCCGCCUCCACCGACCGAAGCCACGCCCACCAGCAGCAUGGCCACGCCCCCUCGUGAGGAAACCCCGCCCCCUUCCUCCCCCUCCCCCCUGCCGUUGGUGCAGGGGGCGGAGCCUGUGGCCCCGCCCACCGCAGAGGAGCCAAUCCCGCUUCCCCUGAGCAAAGAGCCCGCCCCCGAGGGCGGAGCUAUUGCGGAUACCCCGCCCACAGACGAGGCCCCGCCCCCCUCCUCGCCCCGAGGGCGCAGCCAAUCGUCUUCCUCCUCCUCGCCUGGCCCCGCCUCCUCCCGCGGAAGCUCCGCCUCCCCGCCGCCACGGGGGCGUGGCCAAAACGCUGAGGACGAGCAGCCGGAGCCGACCCCAGCAGCGACCCCCAAGUGAGUGCGCGGUGCUAUGGGGCGGUUGUGGGGCACUGUGGGGUGACGGUGGGGCUGCGUCAGGCAGUUAUGGGGCGCUGCGGGGGGGUUACGGGGUACUGGGGGGGCUCUGGGGCAGUUGUGGGGUGCUGUGGGGCAGUAAUGGCGCUCUGGGGGUUGUUACUGGGAGUUAUGGGGCAGUUGCAGGGCUUUGUGGGGUGGUUAUGGGGCACUACGGGGAGGUUAUUAGAAUUUAUGGGGCAGUUUUGGGGUGCUAUGGGGCAGUAAUGGCGCUCUGUGGGGCACUGUAGGGGGUUAUGGGGCAACGUGGGGCUCUGUGGGGCAGUUAUGGGGCUCUGUGGGGCAGUUAUUAGCAUCUGGGGGCAGGUAUGGGGCACUGUGGGGCAACACGCUUCUCAUUAUGGGGUCUCUAUGAUCCUCUCUAUGGUCUUUUGGUCCUCCCUGUGGGUCCUCCUGUCUCUAGGGGGUCCUUCCUAUGUGAUCUCUAUGGGCCCUCCAUGGGUCCUCUCUAUGAUCCUCUCUAUGGUCUUUUGGUCCUCCCUGUGGGUCCUCCUGUGUCUAGGGGGUCCUCCCUAUGUGAUCUCUAUGGGCCCUCCAUGGGUCCUCUCUAUGAUCCUCUCUAUGGUCUUUUGGUCCUCCUUAUGUGAUCUCUAUGGGCCCUCCAUGGG